rnacentral:rRNA from 1 species
UACGUAGGGACCAAGCGUUGUUCGGAUUUACUGGGCGUAAAGGGCGCGUAGGCGGCGCGGUAAGUCACUUGUGAAAUCUCUGAGCUUAACUCAGAACGGCCAAGUGAUACUGCAGUGCUAGAGUGUGGAAGGGGCAAUCGGAAUUCUUGGUGUAGCGGUGAAAUGCGUAGAUAUCAAGAGGAACACCUGAGGUGAAGACGGGUUGCUGGGCCAACACUGACGCUGAGGCGCGGAAGCCAGGGGAGCAAACGGG